rnacentral:rRNA from 1 species
CCCUUAGAUGUCCUGGGCCGCACGCGCGCUACACUGACAUGUUCAACAAGCCUCCUAGUUCGACAGGAUUUGGGAAAUCUUUGAACGCAUGUCGUGAUAGGGAUAGAUCAUUGCAAUUAUUGGUCUUGAACGAGGAAUUCCUAGUAAACGCGAGUCAUCAGCUCGCAUUGAUUACGUCCCUGCCCUUUGUACACACCGCCCGUCGCACCUACCGAUUGAAUGUUUCGGUGAAGAUUCCGGAUAGGACUUUUUUGAUUUAUUUCAAUUUUGUCUUAAAAGCUAUCUAAACCUCAACAUUUAGAGGAAGGUGAAGUCGUAACA